UACACAGCAAAUUAUCCCAUCAAUUAAUCUUUCGUUUUGACAGUCCGCUCUUAAAUAUUAUUUUAAAAGUAUCCCAGUCUCCGUCCAAAACCUUUGAACUUGCCGUAUGUACUGGGGUUUCAACUGACCUUCUAGAUACGAGAAACAAGAAAUAAAGUAAUAAAUACUAUUGAAAUGAAAAAUAAAUCAGAAUUUUUAUAUACCCACG
rnacentral:lncRNA from 1 species